UUUCCGUAGGUGAACCUGCGGAAGGAUCAUUCAUAAUAAGUGUUUUAUGGCACUUUUUUAAAUCCAUAUCCACCUUGUGUGCAAUGUCAGGGUUGAUUUUUCUCUCGAGAGGAUCAACCCCAAACAUCAACUAUAUCUCAACUCUUUGUCUGAAAAAUAUUAUGAACAAAACAAUUCAAAAUACAACUUUCAACAACGGAUCUCUUGGCUCUC
rnacentral:misc_RNA from 1 species